UAAGGCCAUAUAAUACUUGCAUCUAUGGAAGGCAUCCAUCUUGAUCGAGCGAUGAUGCCACAUCACCAGAAUGCCUCUGAAUAGCCCUCUAGACUCCACUAUGUAUGUGCUCCAUGCCAUCGAAAUCCAACGUCUAGCCCUGGCUAGACUCACCCCAGAAAGAUGGGUCUCGAGCAAGACAUAGACAUCAGGGUAAUGCUACUGUACCAA
rnacentral:lncRNA from 1 species